rnacentral:rRNA from 1 species
CUACGGGAGGCAGCAGUGGGGAAUAUUGCACAAUGGGCGCAAGCCUGAUGCAGCCAUGCCGCGUGUAUGAAGAAGGCCUUCGGGUUGUAAAGUACUUUCAGCGGGGAGGAAGGGAGUAAAGUUAAUACCUUUGCUCAUUGACGUUACCCGCAGAAGAAGCACCGACUAACUCCGUGCCAGCAGCCGCGGUAAUACGGAGGGUGCAAGCGUUAAUCGGAAUUACUGGGCGUAAAGCGGACGCAGGCGGUUUGUUAAGUCAGAGUGAAAUCCCCGGGCUCAACCUGGGAACUGCAUUUGAUACUGGUAAGCUUGAGUCUCGUAGAGGGGGGUAGAAUUCCAGGUGUAGCGGUGAAAUGCGUAGAGAUCUGGAGGAAUACCGGUGGCGAAGGCGGCCCCCUGGACGAAGACUGACGCUCAGGUGCGAAAGCGUGGGGAGCAAACAGGAUUAGAUACCCGGGUAGUC